GCCUCGAUCGCAUAGUGGUUAUUGCACCGGAUUGCUAAUCCGGAUCCUUCGGGAUGCGCAGGUUCGAUUCCUGCUCGGGGCG
rnacentral:tRNA from 1 species